rnacentral:rRNA from 1 species
GACGGAAGGUGCAAGCGUUGCUCGGAAUUACUGGGCGUAAAGGGUGCGUAGGCGGCUUUCUAAGUUGGAUGUGAAAACUCUGGGCUCAACCCAGAGCCUGCAUCCAAAACUGGAGAGCUAGGGUUCUGGAGGGGAAAGCGGAAUUCCUGGUGUAGCGGUGAAAUGCGUAGAUAUCAGGAGGAACACCGGUGGCGAAGGCGGCUUUCUGGACAGAUACCGACGCUGAGGCACGAAAGCUAGGGGAGCAAACAGG